UCUAACCACGUGACCGCUAUAACUAUUGAGCUGUGAAUUCAAGUACGCAAGAAGUGGUAAAGGAUUCUUGGCUAGUGGUGGCAGGCUGCGAACUCUUCGUAAGGACCUGCACAUUAAUUCCCGGGGUUGCUGACUCCUAAUGUAGCUUAUAAUGAAGCAGGAACAAGCACAGACCCCCUGCAGCUGCCAGCUUUGUUUUGCCAGCUCUCCAAGAGUAACCCAGUACCAAACACAGUACUGGAAUAACUGGGCCAUUACCAAGGAAACCAGCAAACAGCCUGCUAACCUCCUCACUGACGAUAAGAAAACAUUUCUGAGUACCACCCAGGGCUAGAUAAUUAUUCCCUUUCCCAUACAUGCAGGAGUUUUCUGCCAAACUGCAUUCAUGGAUCAGCCUAUAAAACGCAGGAACAAGACAGCUCCAGCACUAAGUGAGGUAUACAUUCAGAAUAAGAGAGAAGAAGAAAGUCUAUGUGCAAAGCUGGAUGGGAUGCACUACAAGCACCAUGCAGGACUGAGAAGGAUGAGGCAAGAUAUUGAUCAAAUUGCAAGGCAACGGCACAGUUUGCUAACCCAAAGGGCUGUUACCCCACGAUCAACACUAGAGCACAUCAUGAGUGAAAUUCAGACUUUCAAACAAAACAAACACUGCAAACAGAGGACACUGGGUCAUUUACCAGCUAGUACAGAGAUAAGCGUUCAGGCAAUUGAUGUGUAUUCAAAAUGGCCUCCUUCUUCAUCCGGGUCUCCAGAUAUGAAGAAUAAUGGAAAAAGGCAGAGUUUCUCUCUGUCUACACCAGAAAGAACUUCUAUGAACAGGUUGCCAAGUGCAACAGAUAAUAAUGUUGAGUCUUCCGAGAAAGACAUUGUUUGGAAAAAGAGGCCUAACUCUAGUUUGAUGCAGAGGGCGGCAAGCAGGACUGACCUGUUGACAUACAAGGAGCUGGGUGGAAUUGCCCGACUGGAGAGUAUUUCCAUAAGGGAAGCUGAAAAGAGAGAGAAGCAGACGCUUUUGGCCAAACAAAGACACAGCAAGUCUCUUGACAUUGAAAUGCGGCAAAAAAUUGAUAAUUUCUUUAGGAAACUGGAGUCACGUUGAGAAGUUCACAGAUUUACUAGAGAGGUUUAUCUGGGAUCAUUGUGCUUUGCUAAUUCAGUUCUAUAUUCUGUUAAACCAAAGCAAAAUGAUAUGUUAAAGGGGAACUAUCCCGAAAAAUGUAUAUAGACUUCAUCAUACUGAAAUAAGAAACGAUCUAAAUAUGAUCAAUUAAAAAUUUUGUACAGUUUCUGAAAUAAUAAAGUUUAUGUUCACUGUUCCUCUCUCGGCAUCUGUUUCUCUUCAUUCAGUCUUUUUGUAGCAGUUGGAUGUCAGAUGUUGGCUGCAUUGGACCUAAAUGUCAUUCAAAAUCAGACUCCCAACUCCUGCAUGAAGAGAGAGUGAAGAAAGGAAUAGGGAGAGCGAAGAUUAACUUGAUUAUUUCAGAUACAAGUCAGAAUUUGCAAUAGAUAAAUCAUUGGCGACACUGGUGCCACUGCAUCAAACAAUGAAAUUCCAUACAUACUACUUUGUGGCAGCAGUUUGGUGAAGACCCGUACCUUUUUCAGUCCAAUAACACCUCCAUGCAGGUCUGCUGAGAUGGGAGUGGAAGAAUACACAGCUCCCUGAUAUCAACUCACCUAAACCCCUGUGGGGUGAAUUGGAAAUCUGAGCCAGGCCUGAUACCAUCACCACCCAACCCCUUAGACAUGAAAGGGAAUUAAAUGCCACCUUACAAUGUAUCUAAUGGGCAGUGGCGUAACUAGAUGUUGCUGGGCCCCACAGCAAAUUAAUUUUAGGGCCCCCAACAUAUCCAGUGUUUGUCCUGUUUUAACAAUAUAUGUUCAAAUUGCUCAUCAAUGAGAGCCUCAUGGGGCCCCCUGUACCUCAUGGGGCCCCCUGUACCUCCUCGGCCCCCCUGCAGCCGCAGGGUCUGCUUACUCUGUAGUUACGCCCCUGCUAAUGGGUAACUUUCCAAAAGGGGUUGUUAAAGCAGCAAAGAGAGAACCAACUAUUUAAUCCCCUUGGUUUAGGAAAGAGAUGUUGGACAGGUAGGUGGACGCGGAGUCUAGUAUUUUGUUAGAGAGUAAUAGGGUUAUUUACAAAACUCCGAAUGCAAAAUUCACGAAAAAUUUGUGAUUUUCUUUUUUAUAAAAUGGGCUUUUAAAAAAAAUCACAAAUUUUUAGAAAUUUAUUAAGCCCCGAGGUUGGAAAAGUUCGAAUCUAAAAAAAACGGCAUCUCAGACCCAUCGAGGUUGCACAUAAGUCACUGGGAGAAGUCCCAUGAUUUUUUUGAUGUGCGCUGGGUUUCGUGCAAUACCCCAAAGUUUUCGGGCAAAAAUCCGAGUUUUUGGGUGAAAAUUCCGAAAAGAUUUUUUUCUUGCAAAGCAAAUUUUCAGGAAAAUGUAAUAAUAAAUAAGCAUAAAAAACCCGAGCAGAUUUGAUCUGAGUUUGUAGCAGAAAAUAUUGAGAUAAAUUUGAGCGCCCUCUCCUGUGCAGAAAUAUAUGUUACAGUGCAAGCCUGCAGACUUUUGUCCAUAGUUACAUAGUUAAAUUGGGUUGAAAAAAGACAAAGUCCAUCAAGUCCAACCCCUCCAAAUGAAAACCCAGCCCCAUACACACACCCCUCCCUACUUUCACAUAAAUUCUAUAU